rnacentral:rRNA from 1 species
AGUGAACGCUGGCGGUAGGCCUAACACAUGCAAGUCGAACGGCAGCACAGUAAUAGCUUGCUCUUACGGGUGGCGAGUGGCGUACGGGUGAGGAAUACAUCGGAAUCUACUUUUUCGGGGGGGAUAACGUAGGGAAACUUACGCUAAUACCGCAUACGACCUACGGGGGAAAGCAGUGGAUCUUCUGACCGUGCGCGAUUGGAUGAGCCGAUGCGGGUUUAGAUGGUGGGCGGGGUAAAGGCCCACCAAGGCGACGAUCCGUAGCUCGUCUGGGAGGCGGGUAGGCCGCAGUGGAGCUGGACCGGGGACAAGGCUCCUGCGGUACGGCCCAGUGGCGAACAUUGGACAGUGGGCGCAAGUCUGAUACAGCCAUCCCAAGUGGGAGACGAAGGCGUUCGGGUUGUAAAGACGUUUUGUUGGGAAAGAACAGCAGCCGCUUAAUACCACGCUGUUCUGACGGUACCCAAAGAAUAAGCACCGGCUAACUUCGUG